GGGGACGCGGGAGACGCAGAGCCCGAGUGCCCACGCGUCCACGCAGCAGAGGACCACUCUUUGCCUUUGGAUGUACUGGGGCUACCACCCUGAGCCGGCUAGGAAGGGAAGAAGCUGGGGUGAAGGGAGGGAAGAGGGCGGGCAUCGGCCACUUGGGGACACUUCAGGUGCAGGCGGGGUAGAGGGCCCCUCUGCGGUGGGUGCCAGCCUUCUCUCUGUUCCACCCAGCCCCCUCUAUCUGACUCCUGCCUCCCCUCUUCGCUUCGCUGCCCACCGCUCUCCCCAGAGCUUCUUUAAGGAUUCCUGGUACCGGAUGCAGCGUCAGGACCGACACAGCGCUCCACAGUUGGCACCCCCAGUGGCCUGGGCAGCUCUGAAAGGGAGGAGCCGCUGUAGAAAUCGGAGAAGCAGCUCGUCAAGCCGGGGUCUGAAAGGGAGCUCACAUUUAUAGUUCCGGCGACCUUGCUCCAGGCACUGCUUCUACUCGCAUGAUGACAGUCCCGAAUUCGAAAUCCUGUUUUCAGAAGGAGACAUGGGCACGAGGAAGUGAAGUGGCUUGUUUGAACUCCGGGGCUGAGCGGGGAUUCAAACCUAGGUCUACCGGAGUCUCAGCAGUACACGUUUGCCUUAGAGCACCAAGGAGCCUGAGGGUUCCGCUCCGUGGGCAAGGUACUUGACCUUUUGGGUCUCCGAUUCCCGCCUCACCUGUAGAAUCAGAGAAAACCGAAUGUAGAUGUAUUCUGAUUAACUGAGCAAAGAGAAGGACUCACCCGUCCACUGUAAAGUGCUUUUGACAGAUGUUCCGUGUGGUUUAUAUCCCAGGCUUUGGAUGUUGGGCAAUAAGCGCCCCGAGGACAAGUCUAAGUUGUCCUCUAUCUAGAUUCGGGAUUUGGGGAGCAGGGAUGAACAAGAAGAAGACGCCAGCGGGGAAAUCCUGUGUGUUUCCUGAAAGAUGCUGGUCUUGAAGUUCACAGCACAGUUAAGUGGGACAGGGCUUAGACCUAAAGCUGUGGAGUGGAAAGUGAAGGAUUCUGGUUGAUCUUAUUUGCUGAGAAAGAUCCCAGAGCCGCAGGGUGGGGCAGAGGGCAUGGUGUGGGUGACUGCAUCCCGAAGCACGAGGAGAGUACAGACUUGAAAUGUUAAAGGAAAAUUGUACUCAAAGUCCGUGGUCUUAACGACAGAAUGGCCUUCCGUAGCCCGAACCGUCAGAAGCUGCAGGAAAUGGCUUUUUUUUUUUUUUUUUUUUUUUUGAUUAUAAACCAGAAGAUAGAAUGUCUUGUUGGGGCUUGAGCUCAGAUCCUAUUGAAACCUUCCGACACAAUUUGCACUUACAGGCCUGGACUUUGCGAGUCACUUUUGUGAAAAUCUUCUGAAAGUGAGGCACACCCUAUAUAAUCCGUAAUAAGUACCUUUUGAGACCUGCCCCUUGAAGUGCUUGGAGGCCGGCAGGCACGCUUGACUAACUGUGUCCACGAGACUGUGUCCACGAGAGGGCGCUCCAGCGUUCCCCUCCAGUACCAACGUGAGGAGUCAAAAUCCCCUGCCAACCCUCACAUUCCUGAAGAAGUAUGACCAGGACUCUUAACAUGUCACCUUUUCAGACCAUACACAGUCAUGAAGAGUCCACCCAAAAGUGUUUCAGUAAGUCUUCCAAAAACUUGCCGACUGGGACCCAACUUCCUUUCCCUUAAAAAGGACAACGUUCCUCCUUAUUAGCAUCACUCAAUACAUACAAUACAUGGAAUACAAUACAUACAAUAGCAUCUAGCCUGAGGAGUCGGUACUCCUUUGUUUUCCUGACUUUAAAGAGACACGGGCUUGUUGGGUUCAUGGAUGGCUCACUGGAAAAGCAAGCGUGCUUGCAGUGCCCGCGUGUGGGUUCACUGGCCGGCUAGGCUAGUAGAAAAGAAAUAGGCUCCAGGGUCCCAAGAGAGUAAAGUGGAGAGUUAGCAGACUGGCCUCAGUAGGUAUGCAUCCCGCAUUGUGCACUUUACAUACAACACAUCAUACAGGCACUAUAGCACACACACACACACACACACACACACACACACACACCUGUGGGCAAGACGUUUAAAAUUCAACUAUGACUUGAAGAGAGGUUUUUUUUUUCCUUCUGUUAAAUAAAAACUAGUUAAAGAUUAUGGUUUAUAGUUAGAAUCAAACUUAAAUCCCUUACUCUGUAGAACGACAAGACAAGGUGGGCUUGCAUCUGUUUGGUUCCUUUGCUGGGCAGUGUAAGACUUUUAUUUGGCCUCUCAUCUGAAAGUGACGAAUCAGCCUCCCUCCAUCUUAGGCUUGAAAGCCAUCUUACAGUGAAGACAAACGAGGCUCGUUCCUAUUUAUGACUAAGUCUGUUUCUCAAGGAUUGGUCUAUGCCCCACCUGUAACCUUAACUACAGAUGUUCUGGCAAUCAUGCCCUUUCUUUCCCCCCCAAAAAAGUUAUUGUAACCAUCUUGCAACCGAACUUUUGUUUCAAAAGGUUGUUAUAGCUACCUGUUGUUAUGACUACCUUAGGAGCAGCUUGCAGUCAGGUCUUUGCUUCAGGAGGUCUUUAGGACUAACUUAUUAUGUUAAUGUUCUUCUCCUGUAACCUCCCUUAUUUUACCCACCAAAUCCCUCAUUUGGAAACCUCCUACCCUUGAACUAUAAAAACCUUGCCUUCCUCACUUCCCAUACAGACCUCUCAAAUUCUGCCUUAGAGGGAGGCAGCCCGUGUGCACAAAUAAAGAGCGUGUUUCGAUU
rnacentral:lncRNA from 1 species